rnacentral:lncRNA from 1 species
CCCACAUGGGCCCAGAGGCCCACAGAUCCCAAGACCUGUAGUUGGCAAGCUGGGAACCCAGGAGAGUGGGUGGUGCAGGUCCAGUGUGACGGCCAGCAGACUUGAGGCCAAUGAAGAGCUGACGUUUUAGCGCAUGCUCCAAGGCGGGAAUAAACUGAUGUCCCAGCCCCAGCACUCAGGCAGGAGGAGUCCUCUCUGACUCACGGAGGGUCAGCAGUCCUGUUUGCCUCAGGCUUUCAACUGGCUGGGUGGGGCCCCCCACAUCUAGGAGGGAGGUCAGCUUCACUUAGUCUUCCAGAGAAAGGUUAAGCUCACCCAGAAACACACUCACAGCCACACCCAGGACAGUUUGAUCCAUUGUUUAGGCACCCUGUAGCCCAGGCAAGUUGACACGUAAAAUUCACCAUCCCGGGUUGUAUGGAGCCUCAAGGGACAAGAGGAUCCCAAAUUGGAUGUGCUCUGAUAAAUCAGUGCAACAACACAAUACGAGCCAGGGUGAGGGGACAGCCAUGGCAGGCCUCUGCUUCCAAGGCAGCCUCACCUUCAACACCUGCCUUGAUCUCUGCCAGUGACAGGGACCCACCCCACACAGAUCCCGUGGUCAUGGAAGCAGGUCCCUCUGGCAGACAAUCAGCCUUUUCCACAUUAACUGUGGUUUGCCCUUCAGCAAAUCAACACCACAGGCCAAUACAGGUGCUGGAAUCUCCCUCAUCCCAGGCAACAUUCAAGCUUUAAAGGGCCCUCCCCAGGAGGUGGCCCGCUUGGGAAGAGGAACCAGGAAAGCAUCAUCACCCUCUUCCCUAUUCAGGUUGGCCCAGGGUUGCUAAAAGACGUUUCUGUCCUGGUUGUUGUCCCCAAUCUGCCCCUUUUCCCAUCGCUGGAACGGGCCCUCUCAGUCAGCGGGUGACCUCAGAGAACGGCCUAAGGGUCCUGUGCUAUUGCUGCCACUGACAGGUGGGAGCCAGUUAACCAAGCCCCUUCCCCUGCUGGUGUGGGGUUCCACACACCCCAUAGCAGCGGAGGCAAGUCCUGCUGCGCUCACUUGGUUAGGGAAAGGGAACGAACUCCUACCAUCUCACCUUCCAGCUCCCCAGUACGAGCUGUGCUGAAAGCCACUACUAAUGUGUGAGGCUAACUCCAGACUACGGAGCCUUAAACAAGGCUAUCCCCUUGCUUAGAGCACUUCUACCAGACAUCUUUGCCUUAAGACGACAUUCAAAACAACCUGGCUAAAUAGUUUGGAGUUGAAGAGUCUGCUGACAUGUUCUGUUCUGUGAAAAUGUCCCAGGAGACUCACCACAAUCGCCUUCCCCUUCAGGGCCAACAAGACACCUUGUACUGGUCGACUCUGGAGUGGUUCAGUAGCUGCCCCCCACCACGAUUGCACACGGGAUUUGCACACAGGCUUUGCACACAGGACCUGAGUGCUGCCUGCACCCCCGUCAGAGCUCGGCUUUGCCAUCACAUUGGCAACAUCCUCGUCACUGAAAGGGACCAAGGCGCUGUCCCACAGGUGGUCGCAGUCUUGAGCAAGCACCUCACUGCGAGGGGAUGGACAACUGCCCCUCUAAAAGGUCCAUGGCCCCUCCGGGUCUGUUGAAUUCGGGGGCAACGUGUAGAACUCAGAAGGGCAAACUGUACCUGAUCCUGUAAAAGACAAGCUCUGGCUGGGCGCGGUGGCUCAUGCCUGUAAUCCCAGCUACUCGGGAGGCCGAGGUGGGUGGAUCACGAGGUCAGGAGUUUGAGACCAGCCUGGCCAACGUGGUGA